rnacentral:rRNA from 1 species
AGAAUCAACGCUGGCGGCGUGCCUAACACAUGCAAGUCGAACGCGAAAGCCCCGCAAGGGGUAAGUAGAGUGGCAAACGGGUGAGUAACACGUGGGUGACCUGCCUUCGAGUGGGGGAUAACGUCCCGAAAGGGACGCUAAUACCGCAUGACAUCCUGCUCUUGGACGAGCGGAGAUCAAAGCCGGGGAUCGCAAGACCUGGCGCUUGAAGAGGGGCCCGCGCCUGAUUAGCUAGUUGGUGGGGUAACGGCUCACCAAGGCGACGAUCAGUAUCCGGCCUGAGAGGGCGGACGGACACACUGGGACUGAGACACGGCCCAGACUCCUACGGGAGGCAGCAGUGGGGAAUUGUUCGCAAUGGGCGCAAGCCUGACGACGCAACGCCGCGUGGAGGACGAAGAUCUUCGGGUCGUAAACUCCUGUCGAGCGGGACGAACACCCACCGGGUGAACAAUCCGGAGGGCUGACGGUACCGCUAAAGGAAGCCCCGGCUAACUCCGUGCCAGCAGCCGCGGUAAUACGGGGGGGGCAAGCGUUGUUCGGAAUUACUGGGCGUAAAGGGCUCGUAGGCGGCCAACUAAGUCGGAUGUGAAAUCCCCAGGCUCAACUUGGGAACUGCAUCCGAUACUGGAUGGCUUGAAUCCGGGAGAGGGAUGCAGAAUUCCAGGUGUAGCGGUGAAAUGCGUAGAUAUCUGGAGGAAUACCGGUGGCGAAGGCGGCAUCCUGGACCGGCAUUGACGCUGAGGAGCGAAAGCCAGGGGAGCAAACGGGAUUAGAUACCC